rnacentral:tRNA from 1 species
GCAGUCGUGGCCGAGUGGUUAAGGCGAUAGACUAGAAAUCCAUUGGGGUCUUCCCGCACAGGUUCGAAUCCUGUCGACUGCG